GCGCUUGCCUCGGCAGCACAAAUACUAUAAUAAGAACAGCGCAGAGAAGAUGAGACCCCUGAACGAGGAUGACAUACACAUUUGUGAAGCAUUCUAUUUGUUA